CUCGGCCUAUGAGUUAUAGACCUCGUUAAGAUUAUGUUUUAGAAAACCUUCGCUACAACGCUAUACCGUUCUUGAAGCUUUCCAAAUUCAUAAGCUGUUAAUGACAUAGAUAAUUCUUGUUACUGGCUACAUCCGCAAUAUUGCGAAUUAUUUAUUUAUAUUUUGGAGGCUUUAUGUCUAAAGCAACUGGUACAGUUAAGUGGUUCAACGAAGAGAAAGGUUUUGGUUUCAUCACUCAAGAUAACGGCGGUGCAGACGUAUUCGUACACUUCCGUGCUAUCACUGGUGAAGGUUUCAAAACUCUUGCUGAAGGUCAAAAAGUUACUUUUGACAUCGAGCAAGGUCAAAAAGGUCCUCAAGCUGCUAACGUUGAAAAAGCAUAAUUUAGCUUUUAACGUUUAAAGUUUCUAAAAUGCCGAUCCCUAGGGUCGGCAUUUUUUU
rfam:Photobacterium damselae subsp. piscicida DI21 genomic scaffold scaffold00004, whole genome shotgun sequence.